ACGAUGCCUCCGUCCCUGGUGGCUGCAGCCUUCUGAAGCUGCCGCCCGACCUGGCCCUCCACCUCCUCCUUCCGGCCGCCGCCAUUAGGUAGGUGUAAUCUACUAAUCUUCCGUCAGAUUUGGUCCUGAUUUUGGCGUGUGUGUUUGGCCGCAGCUUCUUGAUGAAGCUGAUUGAGCUGAAGAAUGGCACCACCGUCCAUACUCCAUAGCACCAUCGCUGGGCGGGAAGCAGCAUAUGUGUUGCUAAGAGGAGCUAGCGGGCAUGGAGGAGACAAUGCUCUUCGUGGCGACCACCUUUACGCUAAUUUUGCAGGAAUGCAGGGUGGGGCAUUGACCAACAUCGGUCUCGGCGUUGAGCAGUCGCUGCCCUCGUACUGAAAUAUGAAAUAGUGACCAAGAAGGGAUAACCAUGGCGAUCCAAAGUAAUCGGUGAGGCGGAUGUUAGCAGCGCAAAGAGUAUCUAAGUGGAGUACAACCUCGCUGUCCGUCUCACACUUUUUCUGUUCCACCCGGCCGGUGAUAGUUAUUGCUGGUGCAAUCGUGUUUUGGCAAUAAGGUAUAUAUACA